UCAGGUAUGGUGUAGUGGCAACACAUCCAUUUCUUGUUCCGAAGUGCAACAGAAAUCAAUGGAAGUCUAGAGUUCGAUUCUCUGUACCUGAU